GUGCCAGCAGCCGCGGUAAGACAGAGGGUGCAAACGUUGCUCGGAUUUACUGGGCGUAAAGCGCGUGUAGGCGGGCGAAUAAGUCGGGUGUGAAAUCCCUGGGCUCAACCUAGGAACUGCAUCCGAAACUGUUCACCUGGAGUGAUGGAGAGGAAGGCGGAAUUCCCGGUGUAGAGGUGAAAUUCGUAGAUAUCGGGAGGAACACCAGUGGCGAAGGCGGCCUUCUGGACAUUUACUGACGCUGAGACGCGAAAGCGUGGGGAGCAAACAGGAUUAGAAACCCGUGUAGUCC
rnacentral:rRNA from 1 species